CUCAAGCUCCUUCUUCUUUACACUCUAGCCCACUUCUUCACACUCCAGCAGAUGAGCUGAUUCCACAUAUGAGUGAGAUCAUGUUAUUCUUAUCUUUCUCUGACUGGCUUAGCAUAAUACUCUCCAAGUCCAUCCAUGCUGUUGAAAAUGGGACUAAAGAAUAGAUUUGGGCACCUAACAUCACAUCUUGAAAGCAGCACCACUGAGAUAUUAG